rnacentral:sRNA from 1 species
AAGGGCGCCGCGAGCGAGGCCGGCCGCGCCAUGCACCUGAUGAAGAAGCGGGAGAAGCAGCGCGAGCAGAUGGAGCAGAUGAAGCAGCGAAUCGCGGAGGAGAACAUCAUGAAAUCCAACAUUGACAAGAAGUUCUCUGCGCACUACGACGCGGUGGAGGCAGAGCUCAAGUCCAGCACCGUGGGUCUCGUGACCCUGAAUGACAUGAAGGCCAAGCAGGAGGCUCUGGUGAAGGAGCGGGAGAAGCAGCUGGCCAAGAAGGAGCAGUCCAAGGAGCUGCAGAUGAAGCUGGAGAAGCUUCGAGAGAAGGAGCGUAAGAAGGAAGCCAAGCGGAAGAUCUCCAGCCUGUCCUUCACCCUGGAGGAGGAAGAAGAGGGAGGCGAGGAGGAAGAGGAGGCGGCCAUGUAUGAGGAGGAGAUGGAAGAGAUCACCACAAAGAAGAGAAAACUGGGGAAGAACCCAGACGUUGACACAAGCUUCUUGCCUGAUCGAGACCGUGAGGAGGAGGAGAAUCGGCUUCGAGAAGAGCUGCGGCAGGAGUGGGAAGCCAAGCAGGAGAAGAUCAAGAGUGAGGAGAUCGAGAUCACCUUCAGCUACUGGGAUGGCUCUGGGCACCGGCGGACAGUCAAGGUAGGCAGCGUGCAGCCUGCUUCCUGCUCACCAUGGGCCCAGCCUCCCUCAGGUUCCGUGGGAAGGAACUGACCUUCCUGACUUGGGAAGCCCCAGGGAUCCUGAGGAUAACUGGCUCCAGGGCCUG